rfam:Triticum aestivum genome assembly, contig: Triticum_aestivum_CS42_TGACv1_scaffold_436079_5DL
CUAUUACUCCCUCCGUUCCGAAUUACUUGUCGCAGGUGUGGAUGUAUCUAGAUGUAUUUUAGUUCUAGAUACAUCCAUUUCUAUGACGAGUAAUUUAGAACGGAGGGAGUACUUC